rnacentral:misc_RNA from 1 species
GAUGAAGAACGUAGUGAAAUGCGAUAAGUAAUGGGAAUUGCAGAAUUCAGUGAAUCAUCGAAUCUUUGAACGCACAUUGCGCCCGCCAGUAUUCUGGCGGGCAUGCCUGUUCGAGCGUCAUUACAACCCUCAGGCCCCCGGGCCUGGCGUUGGGGAUCGGCGAGGCGCCCCCCGCGGGCACGCGCCGUCCCCCAAAUACAGUGGCGGUCCCGCCGCAGCUUCCAUUGCGUAGUAGCUAACACCUCGCAACUGGAGAGCGGCGCGGCCAUGCCGUAAAACACCCAACUUCUGAAUGUUGACCUCGAAUCAGGUAGGAAUACCCGCUGAACUUAAGCAUAUCAAUAAGCGGAGGA